AGUCGAGGGGUAACCUGAUUAAUAGCAAUAUUAAUUAGGCUAGACCGGCGCACGGGUGCGUAACACGUAUGCAAUCUACCUUGUACUGGGGCAUAACUUCGAGAAAUCGAUGCUAAUUCCCCAUGAUAUAAUGAAGUGGCAUCACUUUAUUAUUAAAGCUCAGGCGGUACAAGAUGAGCAUGCGUCCAAUUAGCUAGUAGGCGAGGUAACGGCUCACCUAGGCUACGAUUGGUAGGGGUUCUGAGAGGAUGAUCCCCCACACUGGUACUGAGACACGGACCAGACUCCUACGGGAGGCAGCAGUGAGGAAUAUUGCGCAAUGGACGAAAGUCUGACGCAGCCAUGCCGCGUGAAGGAUUGAAGGCCCUAUGGGUUGUAAACUUCUUUUGUAUAGGAAUAAACCCCCGAACGUGUUCGGGGCUGAAGGUACUAUAAGAAUAAGCACCGGCUAACUCCGUGCCAGCAGCCGCGGUAAUACGGAGGGUGCAAGCGUUAUCCGGAUUUAUUGGGUUUAAAGGGUCCGUAGGCGGAUCGUUAAGUCAGUGGUGAAAGCCUACCGCUCAACGGUAGAACUGCCAUUGAUACUGGCGAUCUUGAAUAUGUAUGAAGUUGGCGGAAUGUGUGGUGUAGCGGUGAAAUGCUUAGAUAUCACACAGAACACCGAUUGCGAAGGCAGCUGACUAAUACAUGAUUGACGCUGAGGGACGAAAGUGUGGGGAUCAAACAGGAUUAGAUACCCUGGUAGUCCACACCGUAA
rnacentral:rRNA from 1 species